CCCCUUGGGUCGACUCCCCUUCAAAUGCAUUAGCUGAAGCCGCCCUGGCCUCAUGUCUCGGUGUGAUAACAUGUUAUGCCGUGCCAAUGUUGAGGGCCCUUUGCAAUUGGGCUGGCGUCGCUUAUAGACGUCCCCRUCAUGGGGACAGCUUUGAACCAUUUGACCUCAAAUCAGGUAGGAUUACCCGCUGAACUUAAGCAUAUCAAUAAGCGGAGGAAAAGAAACUAACAAGGAUUCCCCUAGUAACUGCGAGUGAAGCGGGAAGAGCUCAAAUUUAAAAUCUGGUGGUCUUUGGCCAUCCGAGUUGUAGUCUGGAGAAGUGUUUUCCGCGCUGGACCGUGUACAAGUCUUCUAGAACGGAGCAUCAUAGAGGGUGACAAUCCCGUCUUUGACAUGGACAACCAGUGCUUUGUGAUGCGCUCUCGAAGAGUCGAGUUGUUUGGGAAUGCAGCUCAAAAUGGGUGGUAAAUUCCAUCUAAAGCUAAAUAUUGGCGAGAGACCGAUAGCGAACAAGUACCGUGAGGGAAAGAUGAAAAGCACUUUGGAAAGAGAGUUAAACAGUACGUGAAAUUGUUGAAAGGGAAACGCUUGAAGUCAGUCGCGUCUUCCAGGGAUCAGCCCUGCUCUUUUGCUUGGCGCACUUCCUGGUUUGACGGGUCAGCAUCAAUUUUGACCAUUGGACAAGGGGUGUGGGGAAUGUGGCACCUUUCGGGGUGUGUUAUAGCCUCCACUCGAAUACGGUGGUUGGGAUUGAGGUUCGCGGCAC
rnacentral:rRNA from 1 species